rnacentral:rRNA from 1 species
UACGUAGGGCGCAAGCGUUGUCCGGAAUUAUUGGGCGUAAAGAGCUCGUAGGCGGUUCGGUAAGUCAGGUGUGAAAUCUCCACGCUCAACGUGGAGGGGCCACCUGAUACUGCCGUGACUCGAGUCCGGUAGGGGAGUGUGGAAUUCCCGGUGUAGCGGUGAAAUGCGCAGAUAUCGGGAGGAACACCAGUGGCGAAGGCGGCACUCUGGGCCGGAACUGACGCUGAGGAGCGAAAGCGUGGGUAGCAAACAGG